ensembl:lncRNA
CGUUACUCAAAUUGAUGGCCAUCUCAGCGAAAAAUAUGAUUUGACAUUUGUUCAGGCAGAAACUCAAACAGGAUGUUCCAGUGACGAGAACCAUUCAGCGCUGGUCCGACCAAUCGGAAGCCACGCUUCAAGGUUGUUUUGAUCACGUGUCCUGGAAUAUGUUCCGGUUAGCCUCAGAGAACAACAUUGACCUAUACGCUGAGUCGGUGAGUGCGUUUAUAAAGUGCAUUGGAGAUGCUGUACCCACUGUAACUAUUAAAACCUACCCUAACCAGAAACUGUGGAUAGAUGGCGGCAUUCAGGCAAAACUGAAAGCGCGAUCCAACGCAUUUAACCAUGGAAAGAGGUCUGGGAAUAUGUCUGAAUAUAAACAGUGUAGCUAUUCCCUCCGCAAGGCAAUCAAACAAGUGAAAAGCCAGUCCAGGGACAAGGUGGAGUCGCAAUUCAAUGGCUCAGACUUGAAACGCAUGUGGCGGGAUCUACAGGAAAUCACGGACAACAAAAAGAAAUUCAGCCACGUCACGGACACCGACGUCACGCUUCCAGACAAACUAAACACCUUCUCUGCCUGCUUUAUGGAUAAUACAUUCCCACCGUCGCGGCCCGUUAACAAGGACAGCAUCCCCCCCCCUCUCUCUCCUUCGCCGUGGCUGACAUGAGUCAAAAUAUUUAAAUGUGUUAACCCUCGCAAGGCUGCUGGCCCAGACGGCAUCCCUAGCCGCGUCCUCAAAGCAUGUGCAGACCAGCUGGCUGGUGUGUUUACGGACAUAUUCAAUCACUCCCUAUCCCAGUCUGUUGUCCCCACAUGCUUCAAGAUGGCUACCAUUGUUCCUGUACCCAAGAAGGCAAAGAACUGCCUCGUAGUACUCACUUCUGUCAUCAUGAAGUGCUUUGAGAGACUAGUCAAGGAUCACCUCCACUUUACCGGCCACCCUAGACCCACUUCAGUUUGCAUACCGCCCCACUGCCCUAUCCCAUCUGGACAAAAGGAAUACCUAUGUAAGAAUGCUGUUCAUUGACUAUAGCUCAGCAUUCAACACCAUAGUACCCUCCAAGCUCAUCAUCAAGCUGGAGGCCCUGGGUCUGAACCCCGCCCUGCAGAAUUGGGUCCUGGACUUUGACGAGCCACCCCCAGGUGGUGAAGGUAGGAAACAAAAUCUCCACGUUGCUGACCCUCAACACUGUGGCCUCACAAGGGUGCGUGCUCAGCCCCCUCCUGUACUCCCUGUUCACCCACGACUGUGUGGCCAUGCACACCUCAAACUCAAUUAUCAAGUUUGCAGAUGACACAACAGUAGAGGGCUUGAUGACCAACAACGACAAGAGCCUACAGGGAGGAGGUGAGGGCACUCGAAGUGUGGUGUCAGGAAAAUAACCUUUCACUCAACGUCAACAAAAGGAGAUGAUCGUGGACUUCAGGAAUCAGCAGAGGGAGUACCCCCCUUAUCCACAUCGAAGGGACAGUAGUGGAGAAGGUGGAAAGUUGUAAGUUCCUCGGCAUACAUACAGCUUCUCUCUCAAGGCCAUCAGACUGCCUAACAGCAAAUCACUAACGCCAAGGCUGCUGCCUACAUUGAGACCCAAUCACUGGCCACUUUAAUAAAUGGAUCACUAGUCACUUUAUACAAUACACUCUAAAUAAUGACACUUUAAUCAUGUUUACAUAACUCAUAUCACAUGUAUUUACUGUAUUUUAUACCAUCUACUGCACCUUGCCUAUGCCACUCGCCCAUCGCUCAUCCAUAUACUUACAUAUUCUUAUUCCAUCCCUUAAGAUUUGUGUGUAUUAGGUAGUUCUUAGGGAAUUGUUAAAUUACUUGUUAGAUAUUAUUGUACUGUCGGAAAUAGAAGCACAAGCAUUUCACCACACUCGCAUUGACAUUUUCUAACCUUGUGUAUGUGACAAAAAAAUGUUUUAUUUGCGUCCACAUCUCCGAAGUACAAAUCAGCGAAUCAGACUGCAGUCAUCUGACUGCUCCAAGUCAAAGUCAUCGAAGUCACGCCGCAAGAUAAGAGAAUAAAAUAACAAAGGAAUACAACAUCAUCCUUGCACUGAGCUGUAAACUCUUAAAUCAUUGUAAUUUCAGCCAAAAAAAUGUGACAUGUGCAGCAACACUAUUGCAGUCUGUUGCUGUUAUUAUUGUUGUUAUGGUUGCAUCAAACUGAGUAACACAUUCUUUCCAGUACAGGUAAACUGAUCCCAUCCACACCAGAGACCGUAUUCAUGAUUCCACUGGGAGCAAUCAGAGAUCUGGGGUAUCCCUUCGGUCACAAUGGCCUUGCACAGGACAAUACACAAAAUAUUAAAGCCCCCUCUGCAUAAGAGGUAUAGGUCAACAUGUGUCACCUUGACAACAUGAUCCUGGGGGGCAUAGAUGACCCAGUGGUAGUCAGAGUUGUUGCUGUAGGAUUGUGGGUAGUUGAAACUCUGAACGGCCCUCUGAUCCUGGACUAGUGCCACGGUGCCACAUCCCGACGCUGCACAAACACAAAGGACAUAUUAUUAGCCACAAGCCCUGCCUGUGGCUCUACACGCACCCUGUCACACACUUAACCCUUGACAAUACAUGUGCCUCCAUACAACACAAACACUGUCAGCCAGCCAUCUUGGCUCCUGUUUCUGACCCACGUGGUGGUGUAGUUACAGUAGAGGAGUUUGUGUUUAUCACAGACCCUCUGCACCCCAUUGCCUGGUCAUGAGACUGCUGUGUGCCCCCUGAAUGCUCUGUAACUAUGGGUGAGUCAGCUAUAGAAUUUGGAAUUAGAAUUCAGUUAGCCCCAUGGGGAUGUGUGUAUAUGCGUGUGUGCAUACUUGCACAUGUCUGACUAGCAGCACUUGGAGGGUGUGUGGCUAACAAGGUGGAGGGCUCUGCUAGGAUUGAAAGAGAGUAGGGAGCCUAUCCAUUGUCAGGAACUCUGAGGGACUAGACACAUCCAGUCAUCAGGCAUGGUGAUGAAACAUGAGACCCAGCACAUAGCUCUGCCAAACACCGUACUCUAUCAUCAUGUCACGAACACAAUACACAGGUAUUUGCAGUAUAAACAGAGAACUAAAUAAUUAUUUAGCAGAAAACAAAUGCUAUGAGGAUCCAGCCAUCAGUUUCAGUCUGUCAUUUUUAUAAUCCAAAAACACAGUAUUGAAAUAGAGCACUUCUGCAAUGGUAACUGGUUUAAUAUUCUGUUGUUAACUCUGAGAUUUUUUCUAUCCCUGGGGUGAGUGGGGUUAGGCUUGGCGAGCCAAGUAUGCAUGGCCUGACAUAGAGGUUACACCUCGGAAUCUAACAACAAAUCCGCUUCCUGUUCCACUGACGUCAGACACAAAGUGGCACCUUCCUAAGAGAACCCAGUGGUGUAAAAAUACUUAAGUAGUACUUUAAAGUAUUUUUACUUAAGUUGUUUUUUUGGGGUAUCUGUACAUUACUAUUCAUAUUUUUGACAACUUUUGCUUUACUACAUUCCUAAAGAAAACAAUGUACUUUUUACUCCAUACAUUAUCUCUGACACCCAAAAGUACUCAAAAAGUUACAUUUCACAUGCUUAUCAGGACAGGAAAAUGGUCCAAUUCACACACUUCUCAAGAGAACAUCCCUGGUUAUCCCUACUGCCUCUGAUCUGACAGACUCACUAAAACACAAAUGCUUCAUUUGUCAGUUAUGUCUGAGUGUGCCCCUGGAUAUCCUUAAAAAAAAGAAGCAAAUAAAAUGGCGUCAUCUGGUUCUUAAUAUAAGGAAUGUGAAAGGAUUUAACUUUUGAUUCUUGGGUAUAUUUUAGCAAUUACAUUUACUUUUGAUACUAAAGUAUGUAUAUAGACUUAUUUUUCUACUGUAUUAUUGACUGUAUGUUUGUUUUACUCCAUGUGUAACUCUGUGUUGUUGUAUGUGUCGAACUGCUUUGCUUUAUCUUGGCCAGGUCGCAAUUGUAAAUGAGAACUUGUUCUCAACUUGCCUACCUGGUUAAAUAAAGGUGAAAAAAAAUGUUUAAAACCAAA